CAGUGUUGACAUUUGCUUUGUUAAUGUUAAUUCCAGUACACUGGUGAUGAUCGCAGAAAGAUAUGAUCCUGGGCCUUGAAGAGCUGACAAUCUAAGUCAACUCACAGAAUUUUACAUAAAGGAGCUGAAGUUCAAGGAAAUUCUUAUUCAUUCAAUCAACUCAUGCUGAGAGAUACAUUGCUCAGAAAAUUGUCCGGUUAAUUGACAACAGAGUAAAUAUUGGAACCUAGACAUGUUGACUCACUCAGAGCUCUGCACCCCUCUCCACUCCUUCACUGCUACACUGUACAGUCGCGAGAAGACACAGACAUAGGAAAAACAGAAAGUUUUCCGUCGUUUGAUGGCAUGGGCAGGAGCAGUGGCUCAUGCUUAUAAUCUAAGCACUUUGGGAAGCCAAGGCAAGCAGAUCAGUUCAGGUCAAGAGUUUUAGACCAGCCUGGCCAACAUGGUGAAACCCUGUCUCUGCAGAAAAUACAAAAAUUAGCUGGGUGUGCUGGCAGGUCCCUGUAGUCCCAACUACUUGGGAGGCUGAGGCAGGAGAACCGCUUGAACCCUGUAAGUGGAGGUUGCAGUGAGCUGAGAUCGUGCCACUGCACUCCAGCUUGGGUGAAAGAGCAAGACUCAUCUCAAAAAAAAAAAAAAUAGUUUCAUAGCAUGAAAAGUUGCUGGGCAUUUAUUAAACACAGAGGCUGCAUUCUUUUACCUUCAUGUAAUAUUCUAUAUCUUUGAUUUUAGAAAAAGAAGAUCUGUGACUAUGUUUGACAAGGAAUCGUUGUCCAUCUAAGCAGAUUACGAGAGGACUCAAAUAAUCUAACACAUUCUGAUUCACCAAGGGAACCCAGCUCCUUAAAACCCGCCUGGAUAUGUUUGGGACUCACAUAAAAUUUGAAAAAAAGAAAAGCCCUCUUUUCAAAAAUAAAAAUAAGAGCAAAUAAACUUGCUAUUCGUGUCUUUUAAAAUCUCUAAAAUGAGACGUGCUGAAAAUAAUUGUCAGACCUGUCUUCUGUGUGUAAUCCAUAACAAGGGACAUGUCCAAGAAGGUUAGUGGUUGGACUCCCUCUGAUUUAGAGCAUGCUAACAAAAGAAGAACAUUUCAACAAGUUUUUAAUGCCUACCAUAUGCCCAGUUAAAAUCAAACUAGAAAUGAGUUGGACUGAAUAAGCAAUGGGACAAGAUUUCUCUAUAGCUCUUAUUUCUCCCUAGGAACAUUACCCAGGAGAAUGUGUGACUUAUUUUCUAUGGUAUCAAGAGCCAGUAAGAAGAAACAGAAGGCACCAGUAGGGAUAGCAUAAAACAAAAACAAAACAAAACAGCCCUUAAUCUUGGCUUAGGAGUCCAGAACAAUUAUACUUUCACAUUUUCCUUCCUAAUUUGUAUUUUCUGUUUUCAAGAAAUUUCCAGACAGCUACAGAGUGGUGUAAUGCCAACAUAUUUUCAAAGGUAUUUUUGUAAGUGCUAAUAAAUGAGUGCAUAUUGUAAGAAAACUCAUGAAACAUACAAUUUAUAAAAAUAAAACAAGAUCACUGAGAGAUUAAACGAAAUUUUUUAAAGUUUCCGUGCAAAUACAUAUAUACUUUUAAAAAUCCCUGGAAUUAGCAUGUUUCUCAAAGGUGAUGAAAAGGUGACAUGAGAUGGAAGAAAUACCUCUAAACUUAGAAUUAGGAGGCCUGUGAUCUAGACACCACUUCUCGGUCAUUAACCAGAUGAGUGAAUCCAGCAAGUUUCACAAUCUCUUGGAUGGCAAUUUCCUUUUCUAAGAAAAAAUAAAUUUGGACUAAAUGCACUAAAGGCUUUUUCCAGGAUGACAUCCUUUGAGGUUGAUUGUUUUUGUUACUGUUGUUGUUAUUGUUGUUAAAAUGAUUAAUAUCAUAUGGCAUAAUAUAUAUUAUGCAUGGAUAAAAUGAUUAGAUAUAAAUUGCUUUCCUGUGUGUUGCCAUGAUAUGAACAUUGAAACCCCAUGGACUUAGGUAAGAAAGGACUUUAAAGCUGAGUAAACAGAACUUUAAUGAGACUCUAUGUUAGAUCUUCCAGAGGCCAGUCAGCACAAAUCAUUGCAUUGGAUUUUCAGUUGAGAUGACUGCUGUGCAAAUUCAUGACCUUUAUCACAUCAAUUGAAAUUCGCUUCCGGUGCCAGGUGAGAGUACCACACAGUCACCCAUAACCCUACUUCUAGAUUUCAGCUACUCCUCCAGGAACCCAGAAUUAUGAAGUUGGCAGCUGCUACAAGCUCUGCAGACAACGAGAAGGGCAUGUAACAAUGCCAUUCAAAAGUGGUUCAUGAACAGUAUGGUUCUCAAAAUGACACAUAUGAGCAUUUGUGUAUUUGCAACAGUAUUUUUUGCUAUAUGUUUGCCUAAUUUUGUACUGAUGAAUCAUCUCUUUAGGAAUGAAAUGACUAAAAAUUCUAUGAAGGGUUGGGUGUCUUUUAUUUUGGGAAAAGAAUCCAAACCCUACGGCAAGAGAGCCAUGAUUACUGGAGGUGCA
rnacentral:lncRNA from 1 species